GAUGAACGCUGGCGGCGUGCCUAAUACAUGCAAGUCGAGCGAACAGACGAGAGUGCUUGCACUCUCUGACGUUAGCGGCGGACGGGUGAGUAACACGUGGGUAACCUACCUAUAAGACUGGGAUAACUUCGGGAAACCGGAGCUAAUACCGGAUAAUAUUUAGCUUCGCAUGAAGCAAUAGUGAAAGACGGUUCUGCUGUCACUUAUAGAUGGACCCGCGGUGUAUUAGCUAGUUGGUGAGGUAACGGCUCACCAAGGCAACGAUACAUAGCCGACCUGAGAGGGUGAUCGGCCACACCGGGACUGAGACACGGCCCAGACUCCUACGGGAGGCAGCAGUAGGGAAUCUUCCGCAAUGGACGAAAGUCUGACGGAGCAAUGCCGCGUGAGUGAAGAAGGUUUUCGGAUCGUAAAACUCUGUUGUAAGGGAAGAACAAGUACGUUAGUAACUGAACGUACCUUGACGGUACCUUACCAGAAAGCCACGGCUAACUACGUG
rnacentral:rRNA from 1 species